UCGGCCGCGGCGUCCUCGGGGUUUACCUCUCAUUAGAGCUUUCCGUAGCGGCUCUCACCCCGCGGACAGCCUCGGGGAUCCCAGAGAGUCCCUCAGGGGUUCAGGCCGGAAGGCGAACUCGGGUGUCCAGAAGUGACUGGCGCCCGCCCCGCGGGACCUGCUGGGACCUCUCACACGAGAGGCUUUAUCGGGCACUCAAAGACAAAGCCUGAUCAGCACAAUCCCCUGUGGGACACACUCAGCCCUUCUGGGAGACCACAUCCUUCCUGGGGUUGUUGCACCUAGAGCCUCGUGAGACCUAACAAUAACCAUGACCUUCAAAGUACCCCUCAAGCUAAACAUCACCCUUAUUCUAAACAUAGCCUACAACUGACCCGCACCCUCGCAGGGACCCUCACUUCAGCCCUCCAGGGAGAUCACGGGACUGCUGUCACUUCGGCCCUGCUUAAGUCCCUGGACGGAACCCGAACUCCAUUUUAGGCUGUCUCCUCAUGGUGACCCAAUACUUACUUCUGUGCAAACCACACACGUGGGGUUCAGAAGAGGAGCCGGAUUCCUCGGCAUGGAACGUGGAACAUGACCAGUCUGAGGAUACCACACAUAUGGAGUCCAGAGGAGGAGGAGUAUUACUCGGCGUGGAAUGUGGAAUAUCACCAUGUAAUAUCCAAAGCCCAGAUGUUGCUGCAGAAGUGGUUGCUGAGGCUCAAUCAAAGAAUGGCCCACGAUGGAGGCUUGCCCUGGCAAACAAAGACUAAGCAUGAUGGACAACCUGCAAUAUGCCCUUCACUGAGCCCUCCGGGAAGCUCACUGCAUUGCUGUUGGUUUAUUGCUUGGAGCCACCUAGGACUUAACCCCAAACCCAAUAAUGAACAUAACUAUA